rnacentral:rRNA from 1 species
UAGGGAAUCUUCGGCAAUGGACGGAAGUCUGACCGAGCAACGCUGCGUGAGUGAAGAAGGUUUUCGGAUCGUAAAGCUCUGUUGUUAGAGAAGAACGUUGGUAGGAGUGGAAAAUCUACCAAGUGACGGUAACUAACCAGAAAGGGACGGCUAACUACGUGCCAGCAGCCGCGGUAAUACGUAGGUCCCGAGCGUUGUCCGGAUUUAGUGGGCGUAAAGCGAGCGCAGGCGGUUCUUUAAGUCUGAAGUUAAAGGCAGUGGCUUAACCAUUGUACGCUGUGGAAGCGGGAGGACUUGAGUGGAGAAGGGGGGAGUGGAAUUCCAUGUGUAGCGGUGAAAUGCGAGGAUAUAUGGAGGAACACCGGUGGCGGAGGCGGGUCUCUGGUCUGUAACUGACGCUGAGGCUCGAAAGCGUGGGGAGCAAACAGG